rnacentral:rRNA from 1 species
AGUGAACGCUGGCGGCAGGCCUAACACAUGCAAGUCGAACGGCAGCACGGCAGUAGCAAUACUGUGGGUGGCGAGUGGCGGACGGGUGAGGAAUACAUCGGGAUCUACCCUGUUGUGGGGGAGUAACGUAGGGAAACGUUAACGCUAAUACCGCAUAAGAACUGAGGUUGAAAGACGGCGGACCGCAAGGCGUCGCGCGAUUGGAUGAACCGAUGUCCGAUUAGCUAGUUGGCGGGGUAAAGGCCUACCAAGGCGACGAUCCGUAGCGGGUCUGAGAGGAUGAUCCGCCACACUGGGACUGAGACACGGCCCAGACUCCUACGGGAGGCAGCAGUGGGGAAUUUUGGACAAUGGGCGCAAGCCUGAUCCAGCCAUGCCGCGUGAGUGAAGAAGGCCUCGGUUGUAAGAC